rnacentral:rRNA from 1 species
GACGAACGUUGGCGGCGUGCUUAAUACAUGCAAGUCAACUGAAGCAGUGGUAGCAAUCUCGCUGUGGAGGUGGCGCACGGGUGAGUAACACGUAGGUAAUCUGCCUUCAGGUCUGGCAUAACUCCGGGAAACCGGGGCUAAUAGCAGAUGAUGCAGCGGCUCGACAUCGAGACAGUUGUUAAAGCUAUGGCGCCUGAAGAUGAGCCUGCGUCUGAUUAGCUAGUUGGCGGGGUAACGGCCCACCAAGGCAACGAUCAGUAGCUGGUCUGAGAGGAUGAUCAGCCACACUGGAACUGAGACACGGUCCAGACUCCUACGGGAGGCAGCAGUAAGGAAUAUUGCUCAAUGGGAGAAAUCCUGAAGCAGCAACGCCGCGUGAGGGACGAAGGGCUUUGGCUUGUAAACCUCUGUAGUGAGAGAAAAAAAUCCCAAUCUUUGGGACAUGAUGGUAUCUCAAAAGUAAGCCCCGGCUAACUACGUG